UUUACCAAAUCUAUGUUGCUUUGGCGGGUCANNGGCCUCUCGGGGAAGGUAAACCCCUUCUCGCGCCCGCCAAAAGCCCAAGCAAACCCUGUGAUCAGUGUCGUCCGAGUAUACACAAUCGUUAAAACUUUCAACAACGGAUCUCUUGGUUCCGGCGUCGAUGAAGAACGCAGCGAAAUGCGAAAAGUAAUGUGAAUUGCAGAAUUCCGUGAAUCAUCGAAUCUUUGAACGCACAUUGCGCCCUUUGGUAUUCCGAAGGGCAUGCCUGUUCGAGCGUCAUUGCACCCCUCAAGCACUGCUUGGUAUUGGGCCUCGCCCCCGUGGCGGGCCCGGAUUCUAGUGGCGGUCCAGCGAGACUUCAAGCGUUAGCAAGAUUAUCACAUCCCGCUUAGCAAGCCUAUCUCGAUGCGUGCCGGCCAGACAACCCCAUCUAUCUCCAAUGAUUGACCUCGGAUCAGGUAGGGAUACCCGCUGAACUUAAGCAUAUC
rnacentral:sRNA from 1 species